rnacentral:rRNA from 1 species
UACUGCUAUCAGUGUUCGAUUAAGCCAUGCGAGUUAAAUGUUCUUCGUGAACAUGGCGUACUGCUCAGUAACACGUGGAUAACCUGCCCUAAGGUCCGGCAUAACCCCGGGAAACUGGGGAUAAUACCGGAUAAACCAUAGAUACUGGAAUGUUCUGUGGUUAAAAGUUCCGGCGCCUUAGGAUGGAUCUGCGGCCUAUCAGGUAGUAGUGGGUGUAAAGUACCUACUAGCCGACGACGGGUACGGGUUGUGAGAGCAAGAGCCCGGAGAUGGAUUCUGAGACAUGAAUCCAGGCCCUACGGGGCGCAGCAGGCGCGAAAUCUUUACAAUGCGGGAAACCGCGAUAAGGGGACACUGAGUGCCAGCAUAUUAUGCUGGCUGUCCACCUGUAUAAAUCACAGGUGUUAGCAAGGGCCGGGCAAGACCGGUGCCAGCCGCCGCGGUAACACCGGCGGCCCGAGUGGUAGCCACUAUUA